UACAGAGGGGGCAAGCGUUGUUCGGAAUUACUGGGCGUAAAGGGCGCGUAGGCGGCCUUCUAAGUCGAACGUGAAAUCCCCGGGCUCAACCCGGGAACUGCGUCCGAGACUGGAAGGCUUGAAUCCGGGAGAGGGAUGUGGAAUUCCAGGUGUAGCGGUGAAAUGCGUAGAUAUCUGGAGGAACACCGGUGGCGAAGGCGGCAUCCUGGACCGGUAUUGACGCUGAUGCGCGAAAGCCAGGGGAGCAAACGGG
rnacentral:rRNA from 1 species